rnacentral:rRNA from 1 species
CGCGUAGGCGGGAUGGCAAGUCGGUCGUGAAAUCCUUCGGCUCAGCCGAAGAACGUCGAUCGAUACUGCUGUUCUUGAGGGUUGCAGAGGAGACUGGAAUUCCCGGUGUAGCGGUGAAAUGUGUAGAGAUCGGGAGGAACACCGGUGGCGAAGGCGGGUCUCUGGGCAAUCCCUGACGCUGAGGCGCGAAAGCGUGGGGAGCAAACGGGAUUAGAUACCCCGGUAGUCCACGCUGUAAACGAUGACGACUAGGUGUGGGGGGGUUCAGUCCCCUCCGUGCCGCAGCUAACGCAUUAAGUCGUCCGCCUGGGGAGUACGGCCGCAAGGUUGAA